ACAGAGGAGCUGGGGAGCCUAUGGCUGGGGAAGUAGGGCGGCAGGGGAGGGUCAGGAGUGAGAGAUGUGGGUUCGCCCAGAGGCGGUCAGGCACCCCAUUCCACCCCUUCGAGGCUUUCCCAUGCGCCUGCUCCUGAGACCUGGGGGAGGCCAGGUCCCUCAGGGUCCACUAGGCUGG